CCUCCUUUGCUUGGCGGGUGUCCAGGCGUGCAGUCCCUGUCCCCGUUAUGUACGGAGGCAGAGGGAGCAGACUCCGGACUCCUCAGCAUCAAGUCUUUGGUGCCGGCGGCUACCCAUCCUCUGGUUCUAUCCUCAAACACCGGGACAAGG
rnacentral:snoRNA from 1 species